rnacentral:lncRNA from 1 species
GGUACCGGCAGAGCAGGGGGCAGCUGGGGGUGGGGAUGGCAGCUCUCUGGCAGGGCAGGCGGUUGGAUCGGGCCCAUGUAUGGCCUAUGGGGUUGUGGGCCUGGGGGGGUCGUGGUGCCCAUGAGCACUGCGGGAACGCGUGGGCUGGAGGGAGCAAUGCCUGAACCACGGAACUGCAGCAGUUCAGCUCUGUGCAGGUUCUGUUACCUUCACGUUCUUCAUUCAUGCUUUCCUUGGGCUCAUUAAGGGAAGAGCACGAGCCAAAUGCAGAUGGGUCAGCCCUCUGCGCACAUACCUAUGCUGGACACACAUUUGCCAUUUAUCAUCACUCGUUCUCAUCAAUGACUUUGCUUUGAGAGCUUCCACCUGGCCGGUGCGUCUGUUAACAGCUGUGUGGAUCUCAUGUACUUGGAUGGCACAAUAGCUGAUCUUACUGUUCUUGUCUGAUCUCCGUGAUUUCAGUACUACACAUUGCUCAGCCGGUAUCCCAAAACAGUGUCUGUUGUCGUUGGGUGCUGGGACCGUACCCUGCAGUGUCACACAGCCCCGUGGAGCUGUUCCAUGUUGGUUGGCUCAGCUCCUGCCCAGCCUGCUUCAGCUCUCAGCACUCUGCUGUCAUUCCUGUGUAUAGGGGUGGGAGGCAGUGCCUCUUCACACUCUGCUUCCCCAGUACCAAAUGCCAGUGGUCGUGGAGCACCCCUGCCCUUUCCACAUCGCUUAUUGCCCAUUUCGUGGCAGCACUGCAGCACUGUUACCCCGCCGUGCACCAAGGCCUGCCUCAUUGCCCUGCAUUGCCAUGGGGCAGAUGCAGAUCCCCAUCUCCAGGCAGUGCUCCACGCUGUGCUGUGGGGCAGAGCCGCUCUGUGGGGAGGUGCUGGCAUGGGGCCCGGAGCAGCACCUUGCUGUCUGCCCAGAGAGCCCUGGGUGGGCCCGGCCUUGCAGCCUGGCUCCUGUUUGUUCCCAAACCCCAUCACUCAUCCAUCCCUCUGUCCCCUGCUGUGCCAUUCUCCCUGCCAGCAGAGCGCUUGCUAUCCUCCCCCCAGGCCCUGCUGCAGUGCCCCCAUGCCC